AAAUUGAAGAGUUUGAUCAUGGCUCAGAUUGAACGCUGGCGGCAGGCCUAACACAUGCAAGUCGAACGGUAACAGGAAGCAGCUUGGCUGCUUUGCUGACGAGUGGCGGACGGGUGAGUAAUGUCUGGGAAACUGCCUGAUGGAGGGGG
rnacentral:rRNA from 1 species